rnacentral:rRNA from 1 species
CCUACGGGUGGCAGCAGUGGGGAAUAUUGCACAAUGGGGGAAACCCUGAUGCAGCGACGCCGCGUGAGUGAAGAAGUAUUUCGGUAUGUAAAGCUCUAUCAGCAGGGAAGAAAUAGCGACCUUUGGGUCGCCAGACGGUACCUGACUAAGAAGCCCCGACUAACUACGUGCCAGCAGCCGCGGUAAUACGUAGGGGGCAAGCGUUAUCCGGAUGUACUGGGUGUAAGGGGAGCGUAGACGGCCGCACAAGUCUGAAGUGAAAUGCCGUGGCUUAACCCCGGAACUGCUUUGGAAACUGUGCAGCUAGAGUGCAGGAGAGGUAAGUGGAAUUCCUAGGGUAGCGGUGAAAUGCGUAGAUAUUAGGAGGAACACCAGUGGCGAAGGCGGCUUACUGGACUGUAACUGACGUUGAGGCUCGAAAGCGUGGGGAGCAAACAGGAUUAGAUACCCCUGUAGUC